UUUUCUAUAAAUUCCUGUUACUGUAAAGGAAAAAUAACACAAUAAGUUGUAGGUUCAUAUCACUUAUUAAUUAUUAUUAAUAUAUUUUGAUGUUUAUAUUAAAUACCGAUAUAGUUCGACGUUCAGAUGCUUCCUGCUCGGAUACUUGGUCAUAUACAAAGAAAUGAGCAAUUAAGAAAUGAAAUAAAUAGGUAUAAUAUAGAGGAGAAUAAUGAGAAGGGAAAGUGAUGCAUUUACUUUAGGAGUUUGUAGAUUUAUUUAUAUUAACAACAGACAUGGUGAACUAUUUUUUUGAGAGGCUUAUACCUCAUAAUAUGUGAUAAUCCGUUCAUCCAAGCAGUGUUGAGCCUUCACUGUAAAUUUUUACCUCACUUAUUUUUAUGCAAUAAGUUCCUAUCAAAGAGUAGUCGGUCAGAGCUAUCAGUUCAUUUUCAAACAAAUUAAGUCAAAACAUAAAGUGAAAUGAACGUUGAUGUGUAUAUACAUUUUGUAUACUAAUAUACUAAGCACAUCGGCGUACGUUUCACUUUAUGCCUAUAUAUAACUACUAUAUCAAUUGCCUAAAAUACUGUUAGCAUCCGUUUAAAUGAUGUAACAAAUUUAACACUUGAGCAUCUAAGUGAAGAGUCGAUUAUCUUUCCUACUACAUUCGUUCAAAAAGAGAAUUUUAAAAGAAAAUUUAUGCAGUGUAGGGGUCAUAGUUUGCACACAUGUUGCUAUAAUUGCUCCAACGGAACGGGAACAUAACUAUCUUAAUAGAAAAGUUAUCUUUCUAAAAAUGUAGAAAUUGUAACACUCGUUAUAUAACACUACUUACUUGUAAUAUUAUAUUAUGUACUAUAUGCUGCCAAUAAUCAAUUUAUAAAAAUAAUGUAUUAUCACAUAAUAUAUUAUAUUGCAAAUAUCAUAAAAAUUUGUAGUAUUUGUUGAUAUUUGUGUUGAAAAAACUUUGACUAACAAAAUAAAGAAUAAGUAAAAAAUUACAAUCUUUUAGGCGUGUGAUCCAGACUUAAAAAUUUUAAACAUCGAUGCUAGAUGGGGAGGUGCAACACAUGAUGUGGAGAAACUCAAAUGUAAAACUUUUUUGCAGCAGAUCGUUUAAAAUAGAGAUCAAAGCAUUUUCCAUUUCUAUUCUGGCAAAGAUUACUUUCACUUCUUAGUUAUCUUUGCUGGACGGUGAAGCUUUAUAUCUUAUUAUGAAGUAUUUUGAACAUAAAACUUUUGUUUUAUGGAUGCAUUGAUCAAAUAUCUUAAAGAAAUGUUUAUUUAAAGUUUCAUAAUAAUUUUUAUAAGUAGUUUAAUAUUAUUACUUAUUUUUGCACUAGAAAUAAUAAUUGUAAAGCUUCAUUGACUAAUGGCCAGUUUCACCAAAGAUGAAUAGUAGUUUAUUCCAUGAAUAAAAUUAUUCAACUGAUAAAACUGACACAACUAUGUUUCUCUAACGUCAAAUAGUACUUAUUUUAUUUAUUUAUCAAAUAAAUAGUUACUCUUCAAAUGAAUUGACGAGUUAAUCUCACUUUAAAUAUCUAUAUAAAGAAAAUUUGUCAAUUUAAUUUUAAAUUAUCAAACUAUUCACUGAUUUAUUUGUUGUUGGUGAAACUGGCCAUAGAGAGUAAAAUUGCAUUAUUUUUCAAUUUACAUAAAUUUGUGGUUUAUUUGUGAUUUAUUCUUUGUUCUUAUUUUAGUCUUGGUAUGAAACAAUGUUAAGACAAUACUGUGUGCUUUUUCAGUCCUAUGAAAGAAAAUGUUUUGGAUGUAACAGAGAAGUACUACAACUUUGUUAUGAAGAUUUGUCUUUAUGUUAUUUUUAUAAUGUUCAUGGAUUAUAUUUGUUUUUAUGUUUUCUUCAGUUUAAAUAAAGUUUAUGUUUUACCCA
rnacentral:lncRNA from 1 species